AUGGGACCUCAUCAUUCUGAUCUAAAUCACAAGUGGCUCUGUUCGGUCGUUUUAAGUGGGAUUAUGAUAGGUGGGUCCCGCUGUUGUCGAUGUGGCGUCACUGUUGAUCCAUUUGGCUCGUUAGACGCCGUCAGAAGCCGUUCGCGGCCCGUCUUGAGCCGGAACUCAUUUGACCGGUCCACCCCCGCUAUCCCUUUGUCCGCAUCCUCCCCGCACCCUCUCUUUCCCUCCCCCGCACCCUCUCUCCGCACCCCCUCUCUCCUCAGACAUGACGAGGCGAGUGGCGGCGGCGACUGCGGUGGGCCUGCCAGUGGCGGAGACGACAGACCACCGGAGGCGGAUCUGUGCGGCAGCUCAAACCCCGGCGCCCCUUCGGAGAGCAGCCCCAACCCCAGCCCCCGGCACUCGCUCGAGUUCGCGGCGGCUAGAUCUUGGGCCAGGGCCGUGAAGGCGGAUCCGACGCAAAGCCACCAGUGGGGCUCGUCAUUUGGCGGCGUCUAUUUGGAUGAUGCUGUUUGGGAAGUUAGAAUGCACUUCCAUGAAAGAGAUAAUUUGGAGAGAUCCCUAUGCAUUUCAGACAUCACAUAUCACAAUUUGGUAGCAUUAAUAGAGACAGAGGGAUAUGGGGUGAGUGAUUACAUUUACUUUGUGAAGGAGCCUGGUGUGGGUAUUGAAGGAUUGGUAGAAAUUACUGAUGAUGACAUGGUCGAUGAAAUGCUUGACCAUAUUGCUAGUAAGGAUGAGACUGUACUGAAUUUGACAGUGAUUAGGGCCACUGAUCCAAGACCUGCAGAUUUGAAUUCAGGUUAUUUGUAUGAGGAGCAGGUUCCUUUGAGUCAAUUAGGAGAAAAACCUGUCUAUGAAGUCAACCCUUCUGGAGUUCUUUUCAGAUCACCUGAGAAACAGAGGCAGUCAGAGCCACUUCAGUUCUUUGCCACACAGCAGAGCUCAAACUUACAUAUUGCUAUGGAGCAAGAUGAGCAGGAGACACUAAUGGAGCUCAAGAGGAGAACCAAGAUUGAGAACUUUAGGAAACAUAAGGAGGCAUCUGAGCAUGUUCAAAUGGUUAAGCAAAAACUACCAGUUCUUCUAACUGAAGAUGACUCUGAUCUUGAUGCAGAUGAGGACUUUCUUAACAUGCUUAAUGAAUUUAGGAGGCAGAGAGAGGACCCACUCCUUCAUUUUGAAGGAGACACUGAUGUGGAUGAAGUUUAUGGGGAAGAUGAGGAGGAGCAAGUGGAGCAAGUGGAGCAAGUUGAGGAGGAUGAGCAGAUGGUGCAUGAGGAGGAGGAGCAAGUUGAGGAGCAACAACAGGAUCCACCCAAGAGGAAGGAAAAAAGAAAAGGGCCAACCAAGAGGUCACAUUCAAGCUUGGAGCAAAGAUUUGAGGAUGUGUGGGCACCAUCAUCAGAUGAGGAGCUAGAUGUAGGUGAUUUGAAGGAGGAAUGUGAUGAUGGAGCUGAGAAUGCACCUUAUAUUCUGCCCAAUGGAAGGAAGAGCAGAGCAUAUAAAGCACAACCAAGGAAGUGGUACAGUGAAGAAAGAGAGAACCCAGAGGAGCAGUUUUGUAGAAAGCUUUGUUUCCUUAAUGUGUACCAAUUUAGGAGAGCACUGCAGACAUUUCACAUAAGUCAGAAUAGGAACUAUGAGUUCCACAGAAACUGCAAUGACAGCAUCAUAGUGUACUGCACUAAUGUUAAAUGUCCUUUCUACAUUGCAGCUUCUGUUCUUGCAAAUGAAAGUACUUUUGGAAUAAGAAAGGCUAAUUUUUUGCACACAUGCCCAGCAGUAGCAGAGAAUACCAAGGUCACAGCAAAAUGGGUGGCACACCAGUGUGAGGAUAUGCUGAGAAUUGAUAUUGGCACACCAAUCACCACAAUUAUGCAGAAUUUGAAGAAGAAAUAUGGAGUAGAGAUCUCAACCCAUAUGGCCUAUAGGGCUAGGAAACAAGCAUUGAAGGUUGUCCAAGGAGACCAAAGAGGUCAAUAG
rnacentral:rRNA from 1 species